rnacentral:rRNA from 1 species
UACAGAGGGCGCGAGCGUUGUCCGGAAUCAUUGGGCGUAAAGAGCGUGUAGGCGGCUUGGUAAGUCCGCUGUGAAAGUCCAGGGCUCAACCCUGGAAUGCCGGUGGAAACUGUCAAGCUUGAGUCCGGAAGAGGCGAGUGGAAUUCCUGGUGUAGCGGUGAAAUGCGCAGAUAUCAGGAGGAACACCAAUGGCGAAGGCAGCUCGCUGGGACGGUACUGACGCUGAGACGCGAAAGCGUGGGGAGCAAACAGG